AUUGAACGCUGGCGGCAUGCCUUACACAUGCAAGUCGAACGGCAGCACGGGAGCAAUCCUGGUGGCGAGUGGCGAACGGGUGAGUAAUAUAUCGGAACGUGCCCAGUCGUGGGGAUAACGUAGCGAAAGCUACGCUAAUACCGCAUACGAUCUACGGAUGAAAGUGGGGGAUCGCAAGACCUCAUGCUCAUGGAGCGGCCGAUAUCUGAUUAGCUAGUUGGUGGGGUAAAGGGCCUACCAAGGCAUCGAUCAGUAGCUGGUCUGAGAGGACGGCCAGCCACACUGGAACUGAGACACGGUCCAGACUCCUACGGGAGGCAGCAGUGGGGAAUUUUUGGGACAAUGGGGGCAACCCUGAUCCAGCAAUGCCGCGUGAGUGAAGAAGG
rnacentral:rRNA from 1 species